UACGUAGGGGGCAAGCGUUGUCCGGAUUUAUUGGGCGUAAAGAGCGUGUAGGCGGCCAGGUAGGUCUGCUGUGAAAACUCGAGGCUUAACCUCGAGCUGUCGGCGGAAACCAUCUGGCUAGAGUCCGGAAGAGGAGAAUGGAACUUCCGGUGUAGCGGAUGAAAUGCGCAGAUAUCGGGAAGAACACCCGUGGCGAAGGCGGUUCUCUGGGACGGUACUGACGCUGAGACGCGAAAGCGUGGGGAGCGAACAGG
rnacentral:rRNA from 1 species